UACAGAGGGUGCGAGCGUUUUCCGGAAUCACUGGGCGUAAAGGGCGCGUAGGCGGCUCGGUAAGCCGAGUGUGAAAGCCCCGGGGCUCAACCCCGGACGGCACGCGGGACGUGUCGGGCUGGAGCAUGGUAGAGGCGAGUGGAAUUCCUGGUGUAGCGGUGGAAUGCGUAGAGAUCAGGAAGAACACCGGAGGCGAAGGCGGCUCGCUGGGCCAUGACUGACGCUGAGGCGCGAAAGCGUGGGGAGCAAA
rnacentral:rRNA from 1 species